rnacentral:rRNA from 1 species
AAUUGGAGGGCAAGUCUGGUGCCAGCAGCCGCGGUAAUUCCAGCUCCAAUAGCGUAUAUUAAAGUUGUUGCAGUUAAAAAGCUCGUAGUUGAAUUUCGGGAUCAAUAUUUCGGUCAUGCCGUUGGUAUGCACUGUUAUCAUUGAUUUCUCACCUUCUAAAGAACCGUAAUGCCAUUAAUUUGGUGUUACGGGGAAUUAGGACUGUUACCUUGAAAAAAUUAGAGUGUUUAAAGCAGGCUCACGCUUGAAUACAUUAGCAUGGAAUAAUGAAAUAGGACAUCCGAUUCUAUUUUGUUGGUUUCUAGGAUCGAUGUAAUGACUAAUAGGGAUAGUUGGGGGCAUUAGUAUUCAAUUGUCAGAGGUGAAAUUCUUGGAUUUAUUGAAGACUAACUACUGCGAAAGCAUUUGCCAAGGAUGUUUUCAUUAAUCAAGAACGAAAGUUAGGGGAUCGAAGACGAUCAGAUACCGUCGUAGUCUUAACCAUAAACUAUGCCGACUAGGGAUCGGAUGAUGUUAAUUUUUUAAUGACUCAUUCGGCGCCUUACGGGAAACCAAAGUGU